GUAUUGCGAGACUUCAGUCUUAAUUUUUUUCUGAAAAGUCCCAUUUAGCGGUUAUAGCGCCACUACAUUAUGGAUUCUGUCUCUCAUUACAAUUCAUAGAAAAGUUUAAUUUGAACAUAAAAUAAUAAAUGUUGUCUUGGUGAUAUGAUUUUCCAUCUACGCUCUAUAGUUUUUCCUUCACAGUAAUCUGUAUAUCGACAGCAUGUGCAUCUUGUCAUCUUGCCAUUUUGUAUUAAAAGCGACCCGACGUCGCCAUUUUUAAAAUUUUGCAGUCUUGAUUAUCGGUGCGUAUUAUCAUUGUAUUUCAUAUUUUUAUUGAUAAAUAGUGUAGUUUAUUCAUUUUUAUUCUCUGUUUUUACAGAUUGACGAUAACAUCAAGAGUGGAAGGGUGUUCAUUUUGAUGUUACUGAAAAAGAACUUUAUCUGCCGUGUCGUUCUACCUGUUAACAUUUCUUAGAAAAUAUUGCAGUUAGGACAGUGGAUGUGCGUUUGGUCCUAAAGAAAGCAUGAAAGUGCCUUUUGUCCGUUGGAAAUGGAGGCAGUGUGCUCUUGCUAAGGGAAUGAUAUAUAUGAAAAUGAACCGAUUGUCCAAAUUAGAACGAAUUGGCGUUAAUUUUGGUGCUACUGAAACAUUCGAUGUUCUUGAUGUCUUCGCCUUGUAACAUUGUGCAGUUAAUUUAUUCCUGGAAAUAGGAGGCAGUAACAAAUUAAUUUGAGAGCCAUUAAACAACAAAUUCUCUGCAGUGGCAUCCCUCCUAGAUUUGGUUUGCUCAUUAUGUUGGUAGACUUUGGACGCUACUUUCUACAGCUGAUUAAGAUGGUUCAACGAAUGAGAGACUUAAAGUUCAAUUUGGUCGUACUGAAACAACCAAUAUCUACAUGGGUGUGGUCUUUUGUGAACUAUAUUCUUGAUUUGCUAUUUUCGUCUUCGCCUUGCAACAUUAUGCAGUUAAUUUUCAACCCAUGAGUGAGAGCAACUGGAUAUUUACUUGAAUUCCACUUAUAUAACAAAUUAUCUGCUGUGGUAUUCCUUCUGGAGUUGGUUUGCUUUUUACACCUGUAAACUCUGGAACGUUACGUUCUACAAUUAAUUAAGAUUCACGUUGGAGAAGAUAAAGAUGACCCCAUUGUUAAAUUAGUUCUUUGUCUUGCAUGCUGUAUCUAGUAGAAUUCAUUAAGUUCAUUUUAUUCAAAUUAUUUUCUUAGUUUGAUGUUUUUUUGUAGUUAAUUUGAAU